rnacentral:rRNA from 1 species
AAUGCGGUGCUUACCAUGCAAGUCGAACGAUGAAGCCCUUCGGGGUGGGUUAGUGGCGAACGGGUGAGUAACACGUGGGCAAUCUGCCCUUCACUCUGGGACAAGCCCUGGAAACGGGGUCUAAUACCGGAUAACACUCUGUCCCGCAUGGGACGGGGUUAAAAGCUCCGGCGGUGAAGGAUGAGCCCGCGGCCUAUCAGCUUGUUGGUGGGGUAAUGGCCUACCAAGGCGACGACGGGUAGCCGGCCUGAGAGGGCGACCGGCCACACUGGGACUGAGACACGGCCCAGACUCCUACGGGAGGCAGCAGUGGGGAAUAUUGCACAAUGGGCGAAAGCCUGAUGCAGCGACGCCGCGUGAGGGAUGACGGCCUUCGGGUUGUAAACCUCUUUCAGCAGGGAAGAAGCGAAAGUGACGGUACCUGCAGAAGAAGCGCCGGCUAACUACGUGCCAGCAGCCGCGGUAAUACGUAGGGCGCAAGCGUUGUCCGGAAUUAUUGGGCGUAAAGAGCUCGUAGGCGGCUUGUCACGUCGGAUGUGAAAGCCCGGGGCUUAACCCCGGGUCUGCAUUCGAUACGGGCUAGCUAGAGUGUGGUAGGGGAGAUCGGAAUUCCUGGUGUAGCGGUGAAAUGCGCAGAUAUCAGGAGGAACACCGGUGGCGAAGGCGGAUCUCUGGGCCAUUACUGACGCUGAGGAGCGAAAGCGUGGGGAGCGAACAGGAUUAGAUACCCUGGUAGUCCACGCCGUAAACGUUGGGAACUAGGUGUUGGCGACAUUCCACGUCGUCGGUGCCGCAGCUAACGCAU